UACAGAGGGUGCAAGCGUUAUUCGGAAUCACUGGGCUUACAGGGUGCGUAGGCGGCUUGUUAAGUAGGGUGUGAAAUCCCCCGGCCCAACCGGGGAAUGGCGCUCUAAACUAGCAGGCUUGAGUGAGCUAGGGGUGCAGCGGAACUUCCAGUGGAGCGGUGAAAUGUGUUGAUAUUGGAAGGAACACCGGAGGCGAAAGCGGUGCACGUGGGGCUUAACGUGACGCGUGAGGCACGAA
rnacentral:rRNA from 1 species